CCCAUCGAGGCGGAGGACGACAUGGCACCAGCGACGUCGCAGGAGCAUGCACCCGAGACGGCCAUCCAUGGCGCUAUUGUUGUCGAUCUGUCUGUCGCUGUUGUGUGCUCCGCCCCGCUGCCCUCCUCCUCUCCUAACUCUCCAUGAGCUCACGCCGAUAUGCCGUGACAUCCCACAAAACCGGCGGUGUGAGGAGGCCGUGGAUGGCGCUACUACUGCACGAUUCGUCGGUAAGUCCCCAUUUUUUCUCUGUAGGUUGGUCUAUUUGAUUCGUCUCAAGCAACACUUAAGAAGGAAAUCUCUAGCAGAAGAGGAUGCAGAGGGGGAGUUUAAGGCACACAUUAUUUCCUUUCAUCCUUCCUAUUUACUGCCUUUGAAGAUUAUUUCUAUUCCUUACCAUGCCAUAUAGUAUUGUGGAGUGGUGUUCCAUAAGAUAUGUAAUAUUUCAAGAUUAUUUAUGUUCUAAACUCUGCACUGAGAUAUACAAAUUUUUUUGGCAGCCACUGAGAUAUAUCAUGUAAUUUCACUUGGAGAGGAGAAGAGAAGCGAAGAGGAAGUGGAAGAGGAAGUGGCAGAUCUAUUUGAAUUUGGUACCCACCUAAAUGUGCAUAUGGUAUUCCCGGAAGAUGUUAUAUUGGUUGCUUGGAUUCUCUCGGAAUGAUAUUCUAUAUGUACGUAUGAGCGUCGAACAUAGGUGUACCUGUCAUAUGUAUGGAGGUUAUUUCCGUACAGCAUUUUCUUCAGAUUAAAAAUCUAAAUUAAUAUGACACUUUACAUUGUUGCUUUCUAUAAAAAAUUGUUUAUAGCUCUAUAAUAUAUAACACCGGUUGCAUAUAUUUUUCAUCUUAUACUAAAGCUUAUAUGCUCCUAUUGCGGAAAAUAAUCGAGUAUGAAGAAAAUAAUAUGACGCUGGUCUGUCCCUAAUCCCUUCUUUCAUGCCCAGGUGAGUUCAGAUGUUCUACUUCUCAUAGCUGCUUAUGAGCCAUAUUUACAGAUCUGUAAUGAUUAUGUAAUUAUAUUUUAUAUUGCCGCUUUUCAUUUUCAUUCUAGGUCAUUUGUUCAACCAAAAAAAUAUGUUGGUCUUACCUUUUAUCUAAUGAAAGUUUUUCUAAAAUUGCUAACAUUAUGCCUUAGUAUUCCUGAAGUUACGUAUAUGAUUUGCUGCGAUUUUUUUUAUCUCCCUUCGGUUAUCAUUCAUCAAAUGUUUUAAUGAAGAUGUUCAUGUUCUCGAAAGUUUUGAUCAAAAUUCAUGUGCAUGAACCAAGAUCCACAGAUUUAAACCAGUAUCGCUUUGCAUUUUCAGAAAAGUAACCAAUAUUCCUGACACAUAUGGUUGUUUGCAGUGCUUCUGUGUAUUUCUUUUAUUAUCAAUUACGCAAUAAUGAUUUUCUGAUGGUUAAUGUCUCUGCAAUUGGCCUGUUACACUUGAUUAUGUUGUUGUCCAGGGGUACUUUUCUUCGUAUACCUCUACAUUUAUUUGGAAUAUAUGCAGAUAUGUACCUCUAAAGAAGAGAUAUCUUGGUGUGAUCAUGAAAGUGAGAAGUUGAUUCAAUGCAUGUUCAUCUACCGAGGUCCUUCUGUUAGUUGGAGUUAUGGCUACUCGUUUUCGCCUUCACCGUCCUCUUGAGAGAGCCUUCAUUUCGCCAGGAUAUUAUCAACAGUCAUUAAUUGGGAUUAAUUAUUUCUCAGGUCUCUUUAGAAUGAUUUAAAGGGUUUUGGAGCUAAAGAUCAUUAGCUGCUACGAGCUAAGACUUCAUACAUAUAUACUUUUCUUUCUUCCUAGCAUCAAUAUUACAAUAAUCAUUGAUAUGUGGUCCAAACUGGAAAGGUCACAUUAUCGGAGAAGGGUAGAGAAGGAUCGGCAGAACAUGAAUGGGCUACAUGCCCAUCUAUUUUUGUGAUUCAAGAGGUGGCCGCCUCCCUAUCUACCUCUCGGAAGUGGCCGCCGUGGUACUUGAUCGUGGCCAAGCGAUUCAGCGCCGAGGUCAUCGACCUCACCAAAGAGAUCUUCUCUGACAAGCAGGGUAAUGCUACUUCAAACUGAUGCUUCUUUGUACCAUGUUUAUAUCAUCUCUUUCAUCGCUUGCGAUGAAGCAAUAGUAUAUUUAUAAUCAUUAAUUAAUCAUUCGGAGUGGUGGAAUUUCAAAUACUAUUGCUUUUCCAUUUUGUCAUUUGCAUCGUCUUUGAUAGAAGGUUGUUUCUGAAAUAAUUCUCCUGCAGACACUGCCAUCGGUCGUGAAGCCUCCUGGAUCUAGAUGUGAAGAUGGCCUUGAUCGGGAAACCAUCGUCUGACCGUGGGUCGAAAACUACGGAAGAGUUUGCUCCUCAGCCUCGGUCUGAUAAGGUUGGUCUGGCUACAGCUUGUGCUCCAGAUUCUCCGCCUACCUCAUCCACCGCGAUGGCAAACAACCCUUCAACCAAGUUGUUCUUCCGUUCUUUUUUAUAUUCGUCUGCUCGUUUCGCUGAUUAAAGAUGGACAGAAGCGUGACAUUAUUGGACCCAUCUCCUGGGACUUACUAUGUUGUAUCCUAAUAGUAACCUCGCACGCAAUGCUAUACUGCAGGCCCUUGGGCAUGUCAAACUGUCUCGAGGGAUUUGAAGCUCCAUUUAAAUUAUGCUGCGGUCAGGUUAUCAGGGAUUUUUAAAUAUUGAUGACAGUGAUUCUUCUGCUCAGAUUAUCCAAUGGUUACGUUUUAAGUUGUGUGAUUUGAUUGUUGUGGAUGCGAAGAUUAUCCAAUGCUUAUAUUGUCAACUUCAGUUGUUUCACAUUCUGGUGAUCGUCUUGAACAUACUAUUCUUUUAACUAGCUGAUGGAUCAGAUUGGAGAAUGAAUUAUGAUGGAUUUUUCUUUGUCUUGAGAAAUGCUUUAUCAUUUUGAUGUUGUUUCUUGGAACAUGAUCUGGAAUAAGUUAUGGUUUCAUUCUCCAUUUUUCCAUUUUGAUGUGAUACUCAAACUAAAAGCACGGCAAGGAAACAAUUGUAACAACACUGUCUGUUCCUGGGAUAAAGACAUUUCACGAGAUACUAUUUGGCACUCGCCUUCCAGAUGUGAAUCUGUCAUUGGUUCCUUAUACUGCUUUGUUAUUUGAAUCUUUUCCAUAAUCCUUGAUCGCUUCUUCCAACUAAUAUUUGAUGCCCCUGAUGGGUUGCUGCAGACAAUCAGAUCCAUACAAUUGGGGUUCAUAGCCUCAUCAUUCAUAAUUCAGAUAAUUCUUGGGUAUAGCAAGUUGCAGGCUUUGUGCUCUAGGUACACGGAAUCUUCACUUCUCCUUUAACUGAUAUAGAUAGUUUUCAGGUUUGCUUGCAUUCCUUUCUGGGAAGGAGUAGACUAGCAGAGGAAAAACUUGGAAGGAACAUUAGAUCAUAUUGAAGAAAUUCUCUAUCUUGCUAAGUUUAGCAAUUCUGUUUUUUUCGUAUUGACAUCUAGGCCUUAAAAAAACCCCGCCUGCAUAUGUUAUCACUUGAAGAAUUUCUGUAUCUACACUAUAACUAACUCGAGAAAAUUGUUCGUUAAAAUUACCUAAUGCAACAUUGCAUUUUUAUGGUUAUUACUACAGAUUUCAAACUGAAAAAUACCAGCCAACAAAACGCAUAAAAGACAGAGAAGCAACAUAUAGGAGCUUAUUCUAAUUUUGUAGGCCAGGAAAACCUUGAGCUGAGAGAUAGCCUUCAUGUUUGUGCUGUGUAAAAUAUAUUUGGUUGUUUUCAGUGAAGACUACAGCUGGGAGAUAACCAGACGCAGCUAAUGUAUGUCUCCAGUUCCACAAUGAUAAAUAAUUUGGCACAUGUUCUUUCCAUUGUUCCAUCCUACAGCUGGAUGCUUAUGUUCAUAUCAUUCUGUAUUUGUAUCAUUGAAAAACAUCCUUCUCCCAUCCUGAGAUUGAGUGGUUAUAUUCAUAUCACCUGUUAUGUUCAUAUGUCUUUCUAUCAAGGGUAAAAUAGCUUCCACUUGCCACACUUGCUAUUAGAAAAAACAUUCUUCUUCUACAUGUACUAAAUAGCUUCCACUUGCCAGUUGCUAUCUAGGAUAAACUGAAAGACGGAUUUACUGAUUUGCCUUGGUGGUUUGCUAAAUAGUGCGUUUGUUUACCCAUGAAACAGUGAUAUAUGGUGAUUUUUUCAUAACAAACUCUAUAUUUCAAUCCACACAAGACUACUGCGCAUGCCAUGAGCCUGUAAAUAGCUUCUGAAGGUCUUCUUUUACUUAUUUUUUAUGCCAGGCAACAAUGCCUACUUUAAUUAUUGGUACUUAUAAAAUUAAGAAAGUAAUGUGUACAUAGCAUAGGAAAACUGAUGUUUCUCCAAGAGGUAAAAUCCUUUUUUGUAGACAUGCUGACUUUGUACUCUGGACUGAUCUGCAAGAAGGUUUGAUCGCCCUCUUCGGCAUUCAAUGGGAGGAGCACAUGCUGCCUCCAAACCGCACCAGAGGAUGAGGCAUCGGCCGCCUUCGUAGUGAAAACGAGGACGUCAAGACAAGGAAACUCAAAGGAUAAUCAAAAUUCUUUUUAGAAUAUUACUCAAUCUUAUGCUAGAAGAACUUGGUGUUUCAAAGGAUGAAUAACAUCUUGAGCUAUGUGAGUAUUGUUCUGUUUAACGCCUCUGCGCUUCAAGCGGAAUGUUCUCCCGUGUACCCCUCGAUGUCUGUAAUAAAGUCCAAGAGCUAUGAAAACAACAUGGAUUCUGCAUGUGUAAAAUCCAUACAUUUGUUGAUCUGGCGACAAAUACAAUCAUCAUAAACUGCUUAUGUCAACUGUUCAUAAGCGUUUGCUACUCCUUUUGUGAUUUCGUUUGAUUUAUCCUAAUUUCAUCAUACGACUUUUUUCC